rnacentral:rRNA from 1 species
UACAGAGGUCCCAAGCGUUGUUCGGAUUCACUGGGCGUAAAGGGUGCGUAGGUGGUGAGGUAAGUCGGAUGUGAAAUCUCCGAGCUCAACUCGGAAAUGGCAUUGGAAACUACCUUGCUCGAGGGUUGGAGGGGGGACUGGAAUGCUUGGUGUAGCAGUGAAAUGCGUAGAUAUCAAGCGGAACACCAGUGGCGAAGGCGAGUCCCUGGACAACUCCUGACACUGAGGUGCGAAAGCGUGGGGAGCAAACAGG